rnacentral:rRNA from 1 species
CCUACGGGAGGCAGCAGUGAGGAAUAUUGGGCAAUGGACGCAAGUCUGAACCAGCCAUGCCGCGUGCAGGAAGACGGCUCUAUGAGUUGUAAACUGCUUUUGUACGAGGGUAAACGCAGAUACGCGACUCUGUCUGAAAGUAUCGUACGUAUCAGGAUCGGCUAACUCCGUGCCAGCAGCCGCGGUAAUACGGAGGAUACAAGCGUUAUCCGGAUUUAUUGGGUUUAACGGGUGCGUAGGCGGUCGGAUAAGUUAGAGGUGAAAUCCCGAGGCUCAACUGGGGAAUUGCCUCUGAUACGGUUCGGCUAGAGAGUAGAAGCGGAAGGUGGAAUGUAAGGUGUAGCGGUGAAAUGCUUAGAGAUAA